GGGCCCGCACAAGCGGUGGAGCAUGUGGUUUAAUUCGAUGAUACGCGAGGAACCUUACCAGGGCUUAAAUGGGAAAUGACAGGGGCAGAGACGCCCCCUUCUUCGGACAAUCUACAAGGUGCUGCAUGGUUGUCGUCAGCUCGUGCUGUGAAGUGUCGGGUUAAGUCCCAUAACGAGCGCAACCCCUACCUCUAGUUGCCAGCGAGUAAUGUCGGGGACUCUAGAGGGACUGCCGGUGCAAACCGAGAGGAAGGUGGGGAUGACGUCAAAUCAUCACGGCCCUUACGUCCUGGCUACACACGUGCUACAAUGGUAUGAACAAAGGGCAGCCACCUGGUGACCAGGAGCGAA
rnacentral:rRNA from 1 species